rnacentral:lncRNA from 1 species
CCUUUAAUUUUUUGUUAGUGUGUUUAGUUCUUCCAAUUUCUUCAGCUAUAGAGUAUUAAUCAUAUCAAAGUAUUAAUUGCAAAAUUGUUUAAAAUAUUUGAAAUAUAUCAUUUAUUUUGCUGAAAACAAUUUUAGAAUAUCUCUGCAUAUAUUUACUAAUUCUGAAACUUUUUCUUUUACGUUGCAAAUGUACUUUAGAAUUUAAUUUUAUUUGUGUGGAGACUAGAUAAUCUAAUUCUGAAAUUGUCUUAUGUGUGUUACUUCCUCGUAGUAAGAGAGUGGUUAAUAAAAAAGUUCUAAAAGUCC